rnacentral:rRNA from 1 species
CUACGGGAUGCUCCAGUGGUGAAUAUUGCACAAUGGGCGCAAGCCUGAUGCAGCAACGCCGCGUGAGGGAUGAAGGCCUUCGGGUUGUAAACCUCUUUUAGCAGGGAAGAAGCGAAAGUGACGGUACCUGCAGAAAAAGCACCGGCUAACUACGUGCCAGCAGCCGCGGUAAUACGUAGGGUGCAAGCGUUGUCCGGAAUUAUUGGGCGUAAAGAGCUCGUAGGCGGUUUGUCACGUCUGCUGUGAAAAUCCAAGGCUCAACCUUGGACUUGCAGUAGGUACGGGCAGGCUAGAGGGCGGUAGGGGAGGUGGGAAUUCCUGGUGUAGCGGUGGAAUGCGCAGAUAUCAGGAGGAACACCAAUGGCGAAGGCACAUCUCUGGGCCGUAACUGACGCUGAGGAGCGAAAGCGUGGGGAGCGAACAGGAUUAGAUACCCCGGUAGUC